UAAAAUGAAGCAACAAAGAAAAUGGAGAACUGGAGUUGAACAAAUGAAACUAACUACUUAUUUCUGUAGGCAAAAUUCUGAAAACCACAGAAAAUAUGUAGGAGCUGACUUCCAAUUUUCAAAGGAACUGAGUAUGAAGGUGUUUAAAGCUAUUUUUAUGUCACAGUUUAUGCUGCAAUUGGAACCUGUCACCUCAAGACUUUUGGAAAAUCUGUCCUUGCACUUCUGAAGACCCAUUUUUUGACUGAAAGAGUAUUACACAAAGAACGUGUGGAAGCCUUUUUCAUUCACCUUGAAAGCCAAACAGAACAAGUGAUGAGGAAUGCAUCAAGGGACAGAUGAAUUAAUCUCCAAUACCAUAUGUGUACAUGUGAAUACUUCAGUAUGUUCAAGAAAACAAGGCGCUCAUAACUACUGUACUGACUGGUCAGAAUCCUACCCACCGCUUGGACAGUCAAGCGAUUGUACCGCAGUGAGACAAACAGAACUGAAAAGCUGAUUCCUCAAUUUGCUGUCAGAGGUCUUACCAAGCUUACAGACCAACAUCCGGAUAUCAAGACUUCAAUCAUGGGCACGAAUAAUCUACAAAGGUGCUGUCUUCAAUCAAGAUGAUGCAACAACAGAUGCAUAAAUCUGGUUUUGAUUUUAAAGUAAUUUUGAAUCUCUAUGGCUUAUUUCAUACAUAAAUACUUAAAUCUAAUCCUUCUCCUAUGUGGCUUCUUGUAAAGAAUAACAGCGUUUGGAAAGACUAUGGAAUACAGCCCAUUUUCCAGCCAGUAGAAGAUCACUCCACUUCAGCACGCUAUGCUGGGCUUUGCUCAGAAUCACUUUAAAAGCUCCAAACAAUAUGAUUUAUACUUUUCCCUAAGUAGACCAUUCCACAGCCAAUUUUAUCACACUGUAAGGAUCUCAUGUGUGUGUAUGUGUAUCUUCAACGUACAUUUACUCUGUAUUUUACUCUACCUCAUUGCUUUUGUCCAUAUUUUCAGCUAAAUAAUUUGACUUGGCCCGGAAAAUUGCAACUAAACCAAGUCAAUGGAGCUACAACAAAUGAUAGAAAGAUCUUCUCCACGUGUUUAAGCCCUAAAUUUUUCACUAAUUUAAAGUCAUGCUAAAUUGCAUACAUUUAGCUUUUUAAAUUUCAGAAAUCAAUGCUCAGAGCCUUAAUAACACUAGCUAAACCCUUUCCAGUGCGGCAGUACCUUUAUUGUAGGGUGGUGUCCAGAAUCCCAGUACUGGCUCACCUUAGUGAUCUUUGCUUUUGCCACGAGAUGACUUUUAAUAAGCAGCCCAAAACUGCAUGAAGUCUUUUCAUAUCCAGACUGUUUCACAAAUUCACGUCCAUUUGGCGUACACUGACAUAACCUGAUGUCCCUUAGCGUUGUGUUUUCCCCAGAAUCAUUUUCAUGUAGAGAACAAAAUGUUUCAGGAUAGUUUCUCAGUUCUCAGGUUUUGUUUGUGUGUUUUAUAAAAGGAUAGCCUUGUAUUGCUAAUUCUUUCCCAGCUUUCCUUUCUACCUUGACAUCUUUUUUCAUGUCAUUGUCACGACUGAGCUUCAGACUCAUAGCAAUUUGGGGGCUGUUAAUUUACUGAGUGGCUAAAUCCUUUUUCCAAGACAGUGACAAAGACAACAAGCGUAACAGGUCCUGACACUAGCAUUUAGUACCACUACGGUAGGAUUUCACUUGCCAUUCUAAAUACAUAUUUAACACAGUUUCAUUUCUCAUUCUCAUCAUUUACUCUUUUACCUAGGCUUCAUCCUGCCUAUAUUUUUAUCUGAAUAAAGUGGAAUUAACUUUUUGCAUACUACAUCAUGAAGUAGUUCCCAAAUGAAGUAUCAAAGCUGAGUAUAUCCAGCACAUUGCUUACAGCCAUUAUGUAAAAAAGCAUUGUUUUACAGCUUGUCCCCAUCUCUGGCACCCCCAAAAAAGCUUGCGCUCCAGUGAUUUAGCUCAAUGCAAGGCUGCACACAGAGUAAUGGUGAAAAAUGGGAGAAAUUGAGAAAUGGCUGCAGAAGGAGAGGACAAGACAAACCCUUUCAGCAUGAGCAUGGAUCAUGUAGUUAUAGGGCUACAGCUCCUACUGAAAUAAAUUUAAAAAAAGAAAUCCAAAAGAUUACUUUCUUCAUUUGUUUUUACACUACAUAUAAAGUAUUUCAGUGGUUAAAGGAUUUACUAUGGUGAAGAAGUAACAUGAGAAUUGUCACACUGAAUCAGGCUAAUGGCCCUUUUAGAGCACUAUGUCUACAUGGCAUUGAUAUAAAAUUGAGUCUAAACUUGGAGCCUUAUUUAGGAGAAAAAAAAAAAAAAGUAGUAAAACCUGCUUAUAUGUCUUCAUUCAGACUGACUACAGAUAAAAUUAACCUCUUAGCCAAGCUGCGCUCUCACUCCCACACAGACCUUCUCCCUUAUAUUUACAAUGACAUAAAUACCUUAGUGGCAACUCUAUAAAAAACAUU